AUAUUUUAUGACUUCAUUCAAUUGAAGUCCUCAAAGUGAGUACGUCGUAAGAUCGAAGCGCUGACGGAAAACU
rnacentral:ncRNA from 2 species